GCCCGGCUGGCGUAAUGGUAACGCGUGGCACUUCUGCAGAGGGGUAAUGCUAAGAUUUAGGGUUCGAGUCCCUAGCCGGGUU